GGGAAGGUGGCUUAGUCGCAGAGCGCUUGCCUUGCAUGCAUGAGGCUCUGAGUUUGAUUUCUCAGCGCCA
rfam:Dipodomys ordii contig_7214, whole genome shotgun sequence.